UUGUCCAAAAGUGGCCAAGUGUGUGGCUCAGUGGUAUUUGUUCCCCUUCGAAACGUCACCGGCCCCCCACUUUAAAAGGCAUCCCCCUCAGACCUGAGGCUCAUUCCCGCAGAGAGCUGCAGACCCGCUCUGAAACACGGGAUGAUUGAACGAAACAUUAGGGGUUACCACAUGUGGUAAUCUCGCCUCCAUAGGUGGGAAGCCACCUUGCAUCUUGGACCUGAAGGGAGAGACCUUGGUUUGAUUAUACCAAUGAAGAAGUCUGAGCUGGAUGUGUAGACAAGAAGGGGCUAAGAAUAUCUCACCACAAUGUGCCAAGUGAGUUGUGAUUCAAGAAGAAGCCAAGUUCCCCAAUUCAUGGAUUGCCAGUUCCCUCUUUCUUUGAAGAAGAACACGAGUGAAAGCUUCCAAGCUGCUCAAUUUGACUCGGACAAAAUAGCCAUCACAUAGAAUCUAAAAACAACAAACCUCUUUGUCCUAGUUAAGACAACAAACAAAUGUGUUCAGAAUAAUUUUGGGAAGUGGGGUAGCUAAAUGGAGAUCACUUCAAACAACUACAAACCAAAAUAACCAAAAUAGUGAAAAGCCAUCAAACUCCUUCAAGCGUUUCUAAAUUUUCAAAUAUUUCCUCAAAAAAACCCCAAAAACCAUAAUUCAGAUGCCAACGACACACCUGAGUGUCCCCCUGCCAUUCCAGUGUACUGCUCAUAUGAUAACAUCGCAUAACGGUGGAAGCAGCAGUGCACACUACUGUUCACGCAUCCAUACUGUAUAUACAUAUAUGUGGCCUGUAGGGGGCGUCUCACAUCCCCAAACACCAAUCCAGGAGUCCAAACUGACCAAGCAAAACAAAGACUCUGAUAACCAAAUCUCAAUCAGUGAUACAGGGGAACAAUAAAGUACAACCAACACAGAAAAUGAUAAACCCUUCUGCCCCUCUGGAGUCUAACUAAACAACAGUAACCCCCUGGCUUCUCUGUUACCACAUUUCUCCUGCUCACUGUCGGUCUCCUUCCUCCAUCUGUCCAGCUGAACUCGUCACCUGCUGCCUCUCAAACUUAAAGCUGUCUGAGCAAAGGAACAUUGAUGACCCCUGGAAGUUUUUACAGCAGGGUACCCAGAAGGUGGUUGAGGAACGACAAGCCUCUUUUAUACUGUGACCCAACCCCCUUCUGUGUACAUUUCUGUAAGCACUUCCGGGGUCCCCGCUGUCAAUGGUCUCUGGUGUUGUUUGGGUAGGACCCUAAGAAGCAGCACCACAGAUUCCCACAUGUUAGCCCCACUAAAGAGGUGUCUUCCAGAUUGGUUGUCCUCUCCAGGAUGCCCGUGAGGAUACAACACAUCACCCCUUAGUGGUCUGGGGAACCUCAAACCCUGUAAUAGGGCUUAUAUAAUGGCCUACAGCGGUCUUGAAACAGCUGUUGCUGUGAAGGUAGCAUCCUCUGCUGGACAUUUUGCUACCCAGAUUAACUUCACUAUAUACAGUAUAUAUAGAGCAAACUCUUAAAUUAAAUUAUACACGAGGGGGGACCCAAAAAUAAAGAGAAUUAAAAAUAAAAUCAUAUAUUUCUCAGAACAUUUCCAAAAUUUAGGCACCCUCAAAAUGCUCUCCCUGAGACACAAUACACUUGUCCCACCACUUUUUCCAUUGAUCAAAACUGUUUCGAAACCCUUGCAAAGUGAUAGCCUCCAGUGCCCCAUCAUUUGCUUCUCGACCUCCUCUACAUCCUGAAAAUGUUUUCUUUUAAUGUCCCUCUUCAUUCUUGGAAAUAAGAAAAUAUCGCAGGGUGCAAGGUCCGGGAAAUGGGGGGGGGGGAUUGGGUGGGUGGGAAAUUGUUGUCAUCCCCUUUUCCGUGAGAAACUUCUGCACACUCAGUGCUGUGUAGGGGGGAGCGUUGUCGUGAUACUGAAGCCACUCGCCUGAUUGCCACAAUUCAGGUAAUUUUCUCCACACUGCAUCACGCAAUCGCUUCAGCACUUCGAGGACUCCGCUUGGCCAAAUGAUGCAGAGGACAGUCUAGUAGAUGCACCUAACGACAAACAUCGGAACUAAUGCCCCUCACAAUUCUCAUUAUCUUUGGGUCCCUCCUCGUGUAUAUCUAUAUACUGUAUAUAUAUAUGUGUGUGUGUGUGUGUACACCUCCAAGGAUUAAUUUAGUACCUUAGAAUUUAAUUUUAACGUUUGCUAUCUAACAUUUUCUCGAUCUGGUGAUUCAUCUAGAUUUCAAAUCCUACCACACAAAUAUAUUACCCCUCUACACACACGCAGGCCCAGAACGAGACUCUCAAACCACCCAAGUCUGCUCUUCAGCCAUCCUCUGCCCUUCUCAUGGCAUCACGUUCAAGACCCAAAAUGCUCUGCCAGAUUGUCAAAAGCACAAAAUGUAAGAUCAGUUCAGGCAGGUUGAUGGUUUUCCCCCUUAUGGUUACCUUGACAGACCCCUGGGUAAUGACUUCCUGCUCCUCCAUGCCACAUUCCACUCCAAUGCAAUGCCAAAGGCAAACAAAUCUAAUUGUUCAUCUUCUCGAGCCCCCCAACUCCGCCUCACCCUGACUCAGUGAAACAGAAAGGGACAAAACACAUGCAUCAAGCUGCAUUCCAGCUGUCGUCCAUCUUGGCAUGGAGGAGAAAAAUAUGACACAAAAUUCCCUGAAAUGUCUUAUCCUUCUAAACAUUCCCCUUUGCACACACCUAACAUGUUUUUCUAAUUGGUUAACUAUAUAAUAAUAGAUAAUGGCAUGGGAAAGGUGCUAUAUAAAUAAAAUGUAUUAUUAUUAUUAUUAUUAUACAGCCAUAUCAUAAUGUUUCAUUGAUUUUUGAGUCUGAGGUUCAAAGAACAAAUUGGAAAUGGACUUGGUGGACAUGUGGGAACUUUACGGUUUAGCCAAAGUGAAAUCCCACUACUGUGUUUGAUGUUCUUAUCCAGCAAAAGACAACCAAAGACGGAAAACGAAUUUGCAGGGUCCGUCUCUAAGGUCUUGCCAUCGUUACAGUGCCAAGUCAGGUCUAAAGAUGCCCAGGGUGGUGCACGGCGAGCCUGCGCUCUGGUGCUACAUGGUUGGGAGAAGGUGUCAAGGCACUCCCGUAAAACUAUUUGAUGCAA